GAGAGUAUAUGUAUGUGCCUGUGUACAUGAGGCUAGAGGUUAGGAGCUGCCUACCUUGUGAGGUCUUUUGGUAUUUCAUUUUGUUUUCUGGCAGGGUCUCUGAUUGGACUAGGUUGGCUAGCCAAUAAGUCCCCAGGAUCUCGCUUACAUUCCCAGGAGGCACUGGGAGCAAUGGCCAUACUUGUCUUUUAUGUGAGUGCUGGAGCUCUGACCCAUGCUUGUACAGAGCUGUCGCCAAGCCCCAUGGCCGUGGUUUCGAGUAUUCCUAGCAUUGAACAGUCUUUUCAGUAAUAUAGUGUAUUGGUUACUUUCCCCAUUGCUGGAACAAAAAUAUCUGUCAAAAAGCAAUUUAAAAGUAGGAAGAUUCUUAGCAGGGAGGUGGUAGCACAUGCUUUUAAUUCCAGUGCCACGGAGAUAGAUACAGAUGGGUCUUUGUGAGUUCAAGGCUAGCCUGGUCUACAGAGAAAGUUCCAGGAUGGCAAGGGCUACACAGUGAAACCCUGUCUUAAGAAACCAAGAGGAGGAGGAAAGAGGAGGAGGAGGAGGAGGAGGAAGAGGAGGAGUUUAAUCUGGGUUACAGUUACAGAGCACAGUCAGUCAUAGUCGGGCAGCAUGAGCUUGUGUAGGUCUGACAGGAAGCAGAGAGGGUGACUGCUAGUUCUCAGCUUGCAUUUCUCCAGCCUGGCAAAUAACGAAACCCACACUUAGGGCAGGUCUUCCCACCUCUGUUAACCUAAUCUAAAAUGUUCCUCACACAUAACUGGGGAUUCAUUUCCAUAGUGACUAUGAAUCCCACCAGUUGACAAGCAAAAUUAACCACCCCAUAUACCAACAAAAAGCAAUGUGCUUUCUUAUUAUAGUUAUUGUAUUAAAUUAUGUUACUUUGCCUAGCAAAUUCCUAAGACAGAACAGCACAAGAGACAGAAAAGUUUUGAUGGCCACGCUCUGGAUUAGAUUCCUAGCACCGCAUAAAUAUGGAGCACGAACAUGGAUUACAUGCUAGUGACAACACCACUUGGAGGAAAGAAGAUCAGAAACCCAAGGUCAUCUUGGCUACACUGAGUUUGAGGCCCACCUGACCUACCUGAACUCUGUCUCGGAGAAACCUGGGAGGGUAUGAAGUAGGAAGUGUGCUUAGAGAGGAGGCCACGUGAGAAAAGCAGUGUACCCUCCCCACACACACACACAAAGACUUGGGGAGGAUGGGUGGCCAUCCAGCAAGUAUGAAACCAAUGGAAACUUAGCCAGGGAAAUCGGUUUUUAAAAAGCUAGAGCUCAGUAGGAAGAAAUGGCUCAUGAGUUAAGAGUCUCCAUUACUCUUCCAGAGAACACAAGUUUAAGUACCACCACUAUGCAGCUCCCAACCACCUCAAAGUCCAGCUCCAGGGCACCUGGCAACUAUGCUUCCUCAGGCACACACACUCACACAUGCACACACACAGACACACACACAGGCACACACACUCACAGAUGCACACACAGAGGCACACACACAGGCACACACACUCACACAUGCACACACACAUACGUAACAUAUACAGACAUACAUG
rnacentral:lncRNA from 1 species